rnacentral:misc_RNA from 1 species
AACGCACCUUGCGCCCCUUGGUAUUCCGAGGGGCAUGCCUGUUUGAGUGUCAUUGAAUUCUCAACUUGACCCUGGGGUGUCUUUCUCCCUGGACAAGUCAAGCUUGGAUCGUGGAGCGUGCCGGUCACCCUCUGGGGAAGGCUGGCUCCUCUGAAAAGCAUUAGCGAAAACGUUUCAAGCGCACCGUGGCAUUGAUAAUGUAGUCCAUGCCUCGAGUGAAGCUGAUGAGCUUACUUUGUUCGCUUACAACCGUCUCGCUUGAGACAAACCUGCGUGUGACGCGCGGCCUUUGACAAUCACCUCAAAUCAGGUAGGACUACCCGCUGAACUUAA